ACAGACAUACGUACCACCCUGAACGUGCCUGAUCUCAUCUGAUCUCAGAAGCUAAGCAGGAUCAGGCCUGGUUAGUACUUGGAUGGGAGACAAUUAUCUUCCCACAUCAAGACAACUCUACAGGUAGAUUUUA
rnacentral:rRNA from 1 species